rnacentral:misc_RNA from 1 species
GAUGAAGAACGUAGCGAAAUGCGAUAAGUAAUGUGAAUUGCAGAAUUCAGUGAAUCAUCGAAUCUUUGAACGCACCUUGCACCCUUUGGUAUUCCGGGGGGCAUGCCUGUUCGAGCGUCAUUACAACCCUCAAGCUCUGCUUGGUCUUGGGCGUCACCGGUCCCCGGUGUGCCUUAAAAUCAGUGGCGGCGCCAUCUGGCUCUAAGCGUAGUACAUACUCUCGCUACAGACGUCCGGUGGAUGCUGGCCAGCAACCCCCAAUUUAUCAAGGUUGACCUCGGAUCAGGUAGGGAUACCCGCUGAACUUAAGCAUAUCAAUAAGCGGAGGA